rnacentral:rRNA from 1 species
CCCUUAGAUGUUCUGGGCCGCACGCGCGCUACACUGACUACUUCAACGAGUUGUUUCCUUGAUCGAAAGGUCUGGGUAAUCUUUGAAAGGUAGUCGUGAUGGGGAUAGAUCCUUGCAAUUUUUGAUCUUCAACGAGGAAUUCCUAGUAAACGCAAGUCAUCAGCUUGCAUUGAUUACGUCCCUGCCCUUUGUACACACCGCCCGUCGCACCUACCGAUUGAAUGGUCCGGUGAAGCCUCCGGAUUGGCGCGCACCUCGGUGCCGCCGAGAAGUUGGCUAAACCUUACCAUUUAGAGGAAGGUGAANUCGUAACA